rnacentral:RNase_P_RNA from 1 species
GGAAUAAGCCGUCCUGCCGCCGCGGUUUUUUAGACCGGGGAGGAAAGUCCGGACAGCGCAGAGUACCGUACUUCCUAACGGGAAGGCAGCACGCCGGAAACGGUUUGCUGACAGCAAGUGCCACAGAAAAUUAUACCGCCUUGGCAUAAAAUUUUAUGCUGAGGUAAGGGUGAAAAGGUGGGGUAAGAGCCCACCGCUCUCCGGGUGACCGCAGAGGCACGGUAAACCUUACGGGCUGAAAGAUCAAAUAGGUGCUGGUUUGUGGGGUUACUCGUCCCCGUCUUCAAGACGCCGGCACGGGUAGAUCGUUAGAGGUUCCGGGUGACCGGAAUCCUGGAUAAAUGGCAGGAACUUUUGUCGACUUAGUUCAAUGAAAGGUACAGAAUCCGGCUUACAGGCUUGUUCUUUUC